ACCAAACAAAUAUGAUUCCUUUGAUUAAAAAAAGAUAUCAUACAACAAAAGCCCCUGAAUAGAAAGAAAUUUAGAAAAAUAAAUUGAGAAACAAUUUUAUAGUCACAUCAAGAUAGACUAAAAGUCAAUGUAAUCUCAUUACAAAAUAGUUACAAAGAAAGAAAUGUUACUCAAUUCAUAAUAAACUAGGUAUAGUUUUAUCCUAAAANAAUAUCAUAAANUUCCUAAAUGUUACUUCCAUCAGAUGAUUGUCUUGCACCCAAAGGAGACUCUGGCUCAUUUGCAUCAGGAGCUUGCUGAAAUAAUAUAAAAAAAAAAUAAUAAAAUAAACUCAAUUACAUUUCAGUCUUUCAAAAUAAUAUAAUAUAACUCAAAUUAUAUAACUGGGUCUCCAAUAACGAAUGCAAAAUCCUCUAAGAAUCAUGGUAAUUAUCGAUUGCAUAUAUAGAGUGAUCACGCCAACCAAAGGCUGUUUAUAUAAUAAUAUAUUUUGUGCCAACUAUAUAUUAUACUUCCAUGAUGAUAUGAACUAUUAUUUUUCNUGCAGGAGGAUAAAACAACUGUCAUUUCCCACAUGAGUACCAUG
rnacentral:lncRNA from 1 species